GAUGGCGGGCGCCAGUCGGUGCGGGAAGCGGGACAGUGGCGGUAGCGCCUCCUCCUUCCCAGGCGCUUACAGCGGGCCGAACUAGGGCAGCUGUCGCUGUCCCUUUGCGGGGCAGCUAAUGAUCUAGAGCCUGCGCUGCAAUCAAACUGCUGGCUGCCCAGAACCGUGCGAGAGCAACAGCCGCGCCCCUCUUCUCAGGCCCAGCGUAUCAGCCGCCGCAUUUUAACAGAUACUGGCGACUCUGCGAACCGGUGCAGUUCUUGUCCUGGUGUCGGCUUGAUCUGCUAUCAGGCAAACAAUUAGUGGAUAGCAAUGGAAGACUAUGAGGAGUUCUGCAAGAGGCAUUUAGCCAGGAUUCAAUCAGAAAUGAUAAAACAUGAAAUUUCACAAUCAGUCUACCAGAAGAACAACUCUCUUAUUCGUUUUCAUGGAAUAGCUGUACUUUCUCCUUUGAUGAAGGCUGAAAGAAAACUGGAAAUGCAGCAGUACAGACAAAAGGCCAUGGAAUUGGAGCUAGGUCGGUACAAAGCAAGAAAAAGUGCCUUACUUACCCGUGUGGAAGAAAUUAUCGAAAAUAUACAGGUAUGUAAAGUGCCAAGUAAUGCUGAAUGUGCAAAAGAUCCACUUACCCAACCUGCAGCAAGUGAUUUCAAAACAAUACAACAUGCUAACCGUUCUUCAGUUUCACCAACGUCUACUAAAAAAUCAGAGGAUCUUGAUCAAUCAUCUAAGCCAUUGUUGGAAUUAAAGGAGAAUAGUUCCAGUGGAAUUUCUGAUGAAAGAUGUACUCAAAUAAGUGAGCUUUCCAAAUCAACCUGUAGUACUCAAACUAACGGCACUAGUUCAGUAUUUGUGAGCACUACAAAAGAAUCAAAGACUGAUGUACUGCCACCUGAAAAGGAAUCUCCUGAUCAUUAUGCAAUGAGUCUCCAGAACCUGCUUAAAAAGUCAAGGGAAUACAUAGAGAGAGAACAAAAUCGACGUAAUGGGAAAAACGUUUGCAAGGAUGGUACAAAUGAAAGCAAUUCAGAUAAAGAAAAUGAAGGUAUUAAAGUCAAUGACUGGGAAAAUGAAAGAAACAAAGUUUCUAAAAGUCAGAGUCCUGUUAUAGUUGAUAAAUCAAGCAGUGCAAGGUCACCUUUGCAAUCACAAGUUGCUUCCAUGAUAAAUGAAAGCUUUGAAUUGCCUGAUAAAGCAGCACUUAGCACAUCUAUUUCAGAUUUACAUACAAAUUCAGAUUUAGCAGCAAAGUCGAGGAAAGGCUCAUCUAAAGAAGUUGAGUCAGAUGAGGAAUGGAUAAACAGCUCGGCAUGUGAAUACGAAACUAGUUUGUUUAAAAGCCUAACAGGAUCUUAUGCCAAACUGCCCAAUCCUGAACCAAGCCGUAGCCCUAAAAUACACCAAAGACGUCCCAGAACUUCAACCAAUAUUGUUAUUAAUAAUCCAGUGAAUGCUUAUGACCUAAGCCCAAAAGAAAAAUUCAGUGGCCUACCUGGGACCAAUCAAGGUCAAAUAAAUAUUGGUGGCCUUGAUGUAAGAAGAGCUAUUCCAAGUGAGCUUCGAGCAAUUGCCAAUCAAGAAGAAACUGAAAGAAGUGUUGCAAAACUACAAGAUCUUUCAUUGUCUUUGGGAAAGAUAAAUGAUAUAGUUACAAAAAAUAAUUCACAAUAUACCUGUACAGAAUUUUCUGAAAAGUCUGAACUAAGUAAGAUUAGAAAUAUGGUUGAUAAUGAAGUUAAUUUGCCAAUAAGGAGCUUAAUUCAUAAAGAUUCAUAUGAUUUGGAAAGGACUCCUUCAUUACUUGCAAGUAGACGAGAAAUAAGUCAGCUAUCAACAGCCCAGAAUGAACUUAAUCUCAGUGGCCAAAAGACUAGCAGCCUGAUUGAAAAGACUAAACAAGGUUCACCUGUUAUUCUUAAUAAAUCCUAUGAUGUCAAACAUCCAUCUCCAGUGCUAUUGCAAGCUCAUAGUACAAGGCAACAAACUGAUUUCUUGCUUGGAUCUUCCGAAAGUGAAGAGAGUCCACAAAGCAACAUGGACAUUAAAGCCAAACGCAAGUUGGAUCUGGAAAGCAAACAAUCUGCUGCAAAAACUACAACCUCAACUCUCCAGGAGCUGAACAUGUUGAUUCAAGAAAGGCAUCAUAGAGUUCCUAUAAUCAGGAAGGAAAAUGAAGUGCCCUUAAAUAACCACAUCAAGACAGUAGAUGAAGAGAUCAUCACAAAACAUAUGAUGGCUUUUGUAGAAAUGCGAAAGCAACUGGAAGAGCAACACAGCUUGCAACUCUCUAUGCUAAUAGCCGAACAAGAGAAGGAGCAGGAGAGGCUGCGAAGGGAAAUAGAAGAACAAGAAAGGCGACUAAGAGAGCAAACAAGUUUUGUGAGGGAAUCUUCUGAAAGCUGUUCAAGUAGAGAAACCUCUUUAGAUUGGAAGAGAAUUAGCGGAAGCUAUCUUGUGUCUUCCCUAGUAAACAGAGUGGAUGGCAGUCACUCUGUGCUCACCAGCAAUUCGAUACGUGCUGACUCUUCCUUCAGUCGUUGGGGUCUUGGGGAUGAUGAAGUGCAGUCUUCCAACUUCAUUGGCAGACUGAGGAGUAGGUGGUUACAGAUGAAUGCACCAGAAAUCCAUCAAAAAUUUAAUAAGGUUACAGCUCUGGCAAAAGGAUUUCUAACUCGAAGACUGAUGAAAACAGUGAAAUUAAAACAGCUUCAGCAGACUGUAAAAGAUACCAUGGAGUUUAUAAAUAACUUUCAGACAGAAGCACCCUUGAAAAGAGGUGCAGUUUCAUCACAAGAUAUUUCACUGCAGGAAAGAGUUGUUGCUCAGUUGCGAGCUGCACUUUAUGAGAUACAUGACAUUUUCCUUGUAUUAAGUCCUAAUGAAAGAAUGCAGAUCCUAUCUCAAGAUCGGGAAAUUCGUAAAGAAAAACAACUGAGACAAAUGGAGAAAUGGAAGAGUCCUAAAGAAAAAGUAGCCCUUUCAAUUGCAACACAGAAAUCUUUAGACAGAAAAAGGCAAAUUAAAGCUGCUGAAAUGGGAAUAAAUAGUAAACAAAAGCCACAAGGAAAGCAAAAAGCUUCAUGUGAAACCAGAAUUCUUCAACCAAGUCAGGGACAGAAUGCCCCAGUUCAAAGGCUACUACACAGACAAGGGCCUUCCAGAGCCUGCUGCAGUGAAGCCUCUAAACAGCAUGAUGCAACCACCGAUGUGCUUUACGGUAGGGAUGGUGUGUUUUUGAUGAUGUGAGGUGUUUGGCUUAUGCCAAAUAUAGCAUUUAGUGUGAUGGCCAAAAUGUUCAAUUUUGGUUUCUUCAGACCAUAGAAUCUUCUUCCAGCUGACUUCAGAGUCUCCCACAUGCCUUCUGGCAAACUAUAGUCGAAAUUUCAUAUGAGUUUUUUUUUCAACAGUGGCCUUCUCUUUGCCACUCUCCCAUAAAGCUACAACGGGUGAAGCACCCAGGCAAAAGUUGUUGUUUUCGCACUCUCUCCCAUCUCAGUGACUGAAACUUGUAACUCCUCCAGAGCUGUCAUAGGCCUCCCUCACUAGUCCCUUUCUUGCACACUCAGUUUUUGAGGAUGGCAGAUUUACAUAUUCUUUCUAUUUCUUGAUGAUUGACUUAAUUCCAAGGGAUAUUCAGUGACUUGGAUAUUUUCCUGUAACUUGUGCUUUUCAAUAACCUUUUUGUGGAGUUGCUUGGAGUGUUCUUUUGUCUUCAUGGUGUAGUUUUUGCCAGGAUACUGACUCACCAGCAGUUGGACAUUCCAGAUACAGGUGUAUUUUUACUACAAACAAUUGAAACACCUUGACUGCAAGUGGUGAUCUCCAUUUAACUAAUUACAGGAUUUUUAAAACCACUUGGCUACACCAGUGAUGAUAUGGUGUGUCAUAUUAAGGGGGGUGAAUACUUAUGCAAUCAAUUAUUUUGUGUUUUAUCUAUGUAUUUAGAUCACUUUGUAGAGAUCUGUUUUCACUUUGACAUGAGUUUUUUUUUCUAUUGAUCAGCGUCCAAAAAUUCCAAAUUAAAUCCACUGUGAUUCAAUGUUGUAAAACAAUAAAACAUGAAAACUUCCAAGGGAGGAGUAUGUCCAGGAAAAGUGCCGAAAACAAAGUCAAACGUUACGACACGCUGAGGAAACAGCACUCAGUCGGGUGAAUGGUGCUGCAUAGUUGUAUAACACUUGAAAAGAUCAGUCUUUCAGUAAAAUAUGCUAAAAUGAAAUAUUGUUACUCUGUUUGAAGAAAUUUUGCAAGUGUCAAACUUACUUAACAUUGAAUAAAUGUUAACAAUUCUGUACCUCACAAACUGGAAAAAGUCAGGCACUCCAUGAAUUUCAUCAAAGUGCAUCAUUAACAGCUAAAUUAUCUUGUUUCUUGCACUGAUUUUAUAUAUUUGUGUUCAACUGAAGAGGGACUGUUGUUAGAAAUAGUAUCUCAAAUGUAUUGUCUAAAUUAAUCUUUCUCUUUCUGAACAUUUAAAAUACAGCUGUGAAUUUACUCUUGAAAUGCAUUGCUAUAUUUAAGUAUUAACAUACAGGUUAAUUCAGCCAAAACUCUGUAAAUAUUCCAUAAAUAUAUGCAUAUGAACAUUACUUACUUUUAAUUAUCAAAGCAUGCACUUGAGAAAAUCUUGUCAUUUGUUUCUUAAACAUUAUGAUGAAUUCUCACCUAGCUAACUAAAAGACCAUGAAUUUGAAAGAUACCAUUUCCAGCUAAUGCAAAUGAAUUUUUCUCUGUUAUAUAAAUAACCUCUUAUUUAUGUUCAAAUCAUAUUUUGUUGCUAAUUUUAUUUUUAUAAUAUUUCAAUUAUGUAUUUAUGUUGUGCAUGUUGCAAAAUAAAAUGUUUGAUU